AUGGCGCCCAAGGUUUUAAUGGUCGCGGAGAAGCCCAGCAUCGCGCUCUCCAUCGCCUCCGCCCUCUCCGGCGGCCGCAUGUCUACGCGGAAGGGAAGUACCGAUGUUCACGAGUUUGAUGGGAUGUUUCAGGGCUCUCAGGCAUUCUUCAGAGUGACAUCAGUCAUCGGACAUGUCUUCAGUGUUGAUUUCCCACCUGCAUAUCAGAACUGGGAAGGGACUGAUCCGAUGGACCUUUUUAACGCUCCAGUUCUGAGAUCCGAGAGCAACCCAAAGGCUCAUAUCCACAGGCAUCUAGCCCAGGAAGCUAGAGGCUGCACCUAUUUGGUACUUUGGCUUGACUGUGACCGAGAAGGGGAAAACAUAUGCUUUGAAGUAAUUAGUUGCACCGGGAUUCCUGAGAAUGAGGUUGGCAAAAGAAUAUUUCGAGCUAGAUUCUCAUCUGUUACCGAGAAAGACAUAUCAAAUGCUAUGGAUAAUCUUGUGUUGCCAAACAAAGACGAGGCACUAGCGGUGGAUGCUCGGCAAGAAAUAGACUUGAAGGUAGGAGUAGCAUUUACUCGAUUUCAGACCCGAUAUUUUCAAGGAAAAUAUGGAAAUCUCGACUCAAGAGUCAUUUCGUACGGUCCCUGUCAAACACCUACGCUUGGAUUCUGUGUACAACGCUACCAGCAAAUUAACACAUUCAAACCAGAGAAAUUCUGGUCUUUGAGAGCUUACAUUAUCAAAGAUGGUGAUGAAAUACAGCUAGAAUGGGACAGGAAGAAACUUUUUGAUUUCGAUGUUACUGUAAUGUUCCAAAAGAUGGUAGCCAGUGAUGGAGCUCUAAAAAUAACAGAUAUAUCAGUGAAGGAAGAGUGCAAAGCCCGCCCACCUGGUCUUAAUACGGUGAAUCUGCUUAAGGUUGCAUCAAGUGCGCUAGGUAUCGGACCCCAGACAGCCAUGCAUAUGGCCGAGCGGCUUUACAUUCAAGGAUACAUAAGUUAUCCGCGUACAGAGAGCACUGCCUAUCCCGCGUCAUUUGAUUUUAGAAGUGUACUUUCUACAUUAGCACAUAAUCCUUUGUGGUCCAAUAACGUCCGGACGUUGAUGGAUGCUGGUUUUGUUAAGCCUCGUCAAGGUCAUGAUGUUGGGGACCAUCCCCCGAUUACUCCAAUGCGACUAGCACCAGAAGAAGCUUUGGAAACUGAUGCAUGGAGGCUGUACCAGUACAUAUGCCAGCAUUUUAUUGGCACUGUCAGUCAUGAUUGUAGAUAUACAAGGACUGCAGUUGAGUUCACUUCAGGUGGAGAGAUUUUCCGUUGUGUUGGCCACCGAGUCACUUCCAAAGGAUUUACAUCUAUUAUGCCAUGGCUGGCUGUGGGUGAGAAUAAUCUCCCAACAUUUAAAAAAGGGGACACAAUUAAUAUUCAUAAGGUUGACAUAUACGAGGGAAGCACCACGGCUCCUGAUUACCUUAGUGAGAGUGAAUUGAUCUCUCUCAUGGAAAAGAAUGGCAUAGGCACAGACGCAUCAAUUCCUGUCCAUAUAAACAACAUUUCGGAGCGUAAUUAUGUCCAGGUAAAUUCUGGAAGAAGAUUAGUACCAACAGCCCUGGGAACUACCCUGAUAAGAGGAUAUCAGUGUAUUGAUGCCGAUCUCUGCCUGCCAGAUAUCCGAAGUUUUAUUGAGCAGCAGAUUACUCUAAUUGCAAAAGGCAAAGCUGAUCAUCUUCAAGUCAUUCAACAUGUCCUUCAACAGUUUAUGAGAAAGUACUCUUAUUUUGUGAAGAAGAUUGAAAACAUGGAUACUUUGUUCGAAGCACAGUUUUCACCUCUGGCAGACUCUGGGCGUCUAUUGAGCAAGUGCGGUAAAUGUGGUCGGUAUAUGAAAUAUAUUUCCACUCAGCCAAUGAGGAUGUAUUGUGUAACUUGUGAGGAGGUCUAUUAUCUUCCCCAGAAUGGUUCUAUUAAGCUUUACAAGGAAAUUAUUUGCCCCCUUGAUGGUUUUGAGUUGCUUCUGUUCUCAAUGGUGGGCCCUGAUGCAAAAUCUUUUCCACUAUGCCCCUGUUGCUACAAUAGUCCUCCAUUCGAAGGCAUCGACAAACUUUUCGGUGCACUCAAGCUUGAUGACACCGGCAAGGUUGGGAAAGGGGCUGGCAUGCCGUGCUUCCUUUGCCCGCACCCGACAUGCAAGCAAUCGAUGAUCACUCAGGGAGUUUGCGCCUGUCCAGAGUGUAGCGGUACCCUGAUUCUUGAUCCAGUUAGCGCACCAAAAUGGCGGCUUCUCUGCAACACGUGUAACUGCGUUGUGCUACUCCCACAUGCCGCUCAUAAGAUCACCACCACAGAUAAGAAAUGCCCAACAUGUGAGUCAACUAUCAUUGAAGUCGACUUCAACAAGAAAGCCACCCCUCUUGAAGAUGGAGCUACUUUGCAUGAGGGUUGUAUCUUGUGUGAUGAGCUGUUACAUUCCCUCGUUGAGAUGAAGCAUGGGAAGUCGUUCUUUAUGCGGAGAGGCAGGGGGAGAGGUAGGGGUAGGGGACGAGGGAGAGGCGGCCGGGGUAGGGGAAGGCGGGGGAACUCGAGACACGACGAUCCUAAGAUGAGCUUCAGAGAUUUCUAA
rnacentral:rRNA from 1 species